AUUGUACUCCCUCCGUCCGGAAAUACUUGUAAGAAAAAUGGAUGUAUCUAGAACUAAAGUACGUCUAGAUACAUCCAUUUCUCCGACAAGUAUUGCCGGAUGGAGGGAGUAUUUU
rfam:Triticum urartu cultivar G1812 contig749238, whole genome shotgun sequence.